rnacentral:tRNA from 1 species
GGGGCCUUAGCUCAGUUGGUAGAGCGCAACGCUGGCAGCGUUGAGGUCAUCGGUUCGACCCCGAUAGGCUCCACCA